UCGAUCGGUGAACUCAGCUUGCUGGGUGGAUCNNNNNCGAACGGGUGAGUAACACGUGAGCAAUCUGUCCCUGACUCUGGGAUAAGCGCUGGAAACGGCGUCUAAUACUGGAUACGAACCGUGGAGGCAUCUUCAACGGUUGGAAAGAUUUUUUGGUCAGGGAUGAGCUCGCGGCCUAUCAGCUUGUUGGUGAGGUAAUGGCUCACCAAGGCGUCGACGGGUAGCCGGCCUGAGAGGGUGACCGGCCACACUGGGACUGAGACACGGCCCAGACUCCUACGGGAGGCAGCAGUGGGGAAUAUUGCACAAUGGGCGAUAGCCUGAUGCAGCAACGCCGCGUGAGGGAUGACGGCCUUCGGGUUGUAAACCUCUUUUAGCAGGGAAGAAGCGAAAGUGACGGUACCUGCAGAAAAAGCGCCGGCUAACUACGUGCCAGCAGCCGCGGUAAUACAUAGGGCGCAAGCGUUAUCCGGAAUUAUUGGGCGUAAAGAGCUCGUAGGCGGUUUGUCGCGUCUGCUGUGAAAUCCCGAGGCUCAACUUCGGGUCUGCAGUGGGUACGGGCAGACUAGAGUGCGGUAGGGGAGAUUGGAAUUCCUGGUGUAGCGGUGGAAUGCGCAGAUAUCAGGAGGAACACCGAUGGCGAAGGCAGAUCUCUGGGCCGUAACUGACGCUGAGGAGCGAAAGGGUGGGGAGCAAACAGGCUUAGAUACCCUGGUAGUCCACCCCGUAAACGUUGGGAACUAGUUGUGGGGUCCAUUCCACGGAUUCCGUGACGCAGCUAACGCAUUAAGUUCCCCGCCUGGGGAGUGCGGCCGCAAGGCUAAAACUCAAAGGAAUUGACGGGGNNNNNNNNNNNNNGCGGAGCAUGCGGAUUAAUUCGAUGNNANNCGAAGAACCUUACCAAGNNNNNNCAUAUACGAGAACGCUGCAGAAAUGUAGAACUCUUUGGACACUCGCAAACAGGUGGUGCAUGGUUGUCGUCAGCUCGUGUCGUGAGAUGUUGGGUUUAGUCCCGCAACGAGCGCAACCCUCGUUCUAUGUUGCCAGCACGUAAUGGUGGGAACUCAUGGGAUACUGCCGGGGUCAACUCGGAGGAAGGUGGGGAUGACGUCAAAUCAUCAUGCCCCUUAUGUCUUGGGCUUCACGCAUGCUACAAUGGCCGGUACAAAGGGCUGCAAUACCGUGAGGUGGAGCGAAUCCCAAAAAGCCGGUCCCAGUUCGGAUUGAGGUCUGCAACUCGACCUCANNNNNNCNGAGUCGCUAGUAAUCGCAGAUCAGCAACGCUGCGGUGAAUACGUUCCCGGGUCUUGUACACACCGCCCGUCAAGUCAUGAAAGUCGGUACACCUGAAGCCGGUG
rnacentral:rRNA from 1 species